rnacentral:lncRNA from 1 species
UCCAUGGAUCAGAGAUGCUGCCAUAAGUUCACCUGUCAGAUCCCUUUCUCUCCUUUCAUUGUCACAACAGUGGUGCACUUCACCAGAGUCUCUUGGUCCCUGUUGUUUUCAUCUGGGAGUUGUAUGCUCAAUAUCUCUGGCCAGCACACAAGCAGCACAGAGCAUGGAGAUUCUGGGAAGGUCUGAGUCCUUUUCCCUCUGGAUAACUGUGCUGUCCUUUGGAAGGGUUCUCUCUGUGGAUUUCUCUUACCUGGGAUCCUCCCUGAGCCUGCAGUCCUCCUUCCAGGAGAACACAACACAGGCUCUCCAGCUGCUGCUGGUCCCAGACUGUGCUCUCUCCCAGUCAGGAUAACAACUCCAGUGUCCAGUUUGAGAUGGUGAUGACUUAUACUCUGGGUGCCCGCUCUGAUACAGGAUCAACAAACACCUCUCCGCAGACUCCGCUUCUGCCUCCUCUCAGAGUUCCCCGAAACUGUGCUACAGUGUAUAAUCUGAGUGUCUCAGACCAAGAUGGGGAUGUAGUGAGGUGCCGAUAUGGGCGUCGAGAGGAGCUUGCCUGUGCUUUCUGCAAGAAGUACCCUUUUCUGCAUUUGGAUGAG